UACGUAGGGUGCAAGCGUUGUCCGGAAUUAUUGGGCGUAAAGAGCUCGUAGGCGGUUUGUUGCGUCGGCUGUGAAAUCCCGAGGCUCAACCUCGGGUCUGCAGUCGAUACGAGCAAACUAGAGUGUUGCAGGGGAGACUGGAAUUCCUGGUGUAGCGGUGAAAUGCGCAGAUAUCAGGAGGAACACCGGUGGCGAAGGCGGGUCUCUGGGCCGGAUACUGACGCUGGAGGAGCGAAAGCCGUGGGGAGCGAACAGG
rnacentral:rRNA from 1 species